AACGAACGCUGGCGGCAGGCUUAACACAUGCAAGUCGAACGCCCUAGCAAUAGGGAGUGGCAGACGGGUGAGUAACGCGUGGGAAUCUACCUAGUUCUACGGAACAACAGUUGGAAACGACUGCUAAUACCGUAUACGCCCUAAGGGGGAAAGAUUUAUCGGGGAUGGAUGAGCCCGCGUUGGAUUAGCUAGUUGGUGGG
rnacentral:rRNA from 1 species